GUUCGCGUGCGCUGGAUUCGCAAGCACGGGGGUCGCGCCCGGCGACGCGCGUUUGUAACAACAGCCGCUUUGGCUCCUAACUUUCAGUCCUGACCCACUGCUGGCCCACUGGUGGGAUUAAAGAGACCCCCCUUUUGGGGUUCUGCUCCCACUCCCCACAUCUCCCCUUCUCUGCUGCCUUCGUCCCAUUCCCUUGUUUCUCCGGAAUUUCUUUCAACCCCAAACUUCUUCGCAACUCCUCAAGGUGUUUUUUUUUAAACUCCUCACACCUGCCCGACAUCCAUUGCCUGCUCUAGGCGGCCCCGGAUACCUGUGCGCACAGCUGGAGACACCUUGGAGCUCCCAGCUGCUAAAGGUUCCCUCCCUGGUCCAUUCCUUCCUUCCUUCUUACCUACCUACCUACUUUCUUUUCAUCUUUCCUUCUCUCCUUCCUCUCUCCUUUUCCCUUUCCUUCCUCCCUCUCUCCCCUUUUCUCUUCCCCUUUUCCACCUACUUAUCUACUUUCUUUUCUUCUUUCCUUCCACUCUCCACCUUCCUUCCUCGCUCUCUCCCUCCCUUCCCCCCUCCUCUAUUUUCCACCUACCUACAUACCUACCUACCGGUACCUUCCUUCCUUCCUUUUCCACCUACCUACCUACACUUCUUCCUUCCUUCCCUCCCUCCCUUCUUUCCUACCAACCUACCUAUCCUUUCCUUCCUCCCUUCCCGCUCUUUUUCCACCUACCUACCUCUCCUUCCUUCCUUACCUGCCUUAACUACCUUACCUACCUACCUACCUCUCCUUCUCGUCUCAGAUCUCUCAGCAACGACGCUCCUGUUUCUGCCCUCGACGACCCACUUCAGCCUCCCUCACCUUACGACGCCUCCUGCGACCUCACCUUCUGCAAAGUCGCAUACGGGCAGAGAGGGAGAGAUAGCGUCUGUGGGCUCCCUCCACCAACCCACCUGCCCCGGCGCCGGCCCGCAACUCACCUGGCAUUGGGCGGCUCAGCAGCUCCGAUGCGGCUCGUUUG
rnacentral:lncRNA from 1 species